rnacentral:lncRNA from 1 species
GGGAAAAAAAAAACAAAGGAAGGAAGAGAGAAAAGAGAAUGAGAGGAAGAGAAGGAAGGGGAAAAACAAGAUUGACUUUACAGUAUGAGAUAUACUAUUAUAUAUUGGACCCUUGGUGGGCAGUGCCUAAACAGAGACAACUACAGGUUUCUGGCUGUGGCCACUCUCUGGUGAAACUAAGGGGUUUCUGUGUGGAGGUGCCUAACAGCCACCGUCCAGUUUGGGUAAAGAAAGCUUUUUAUGGUUCACUAAGGACAAUCAACCCCUUCGCAAUCUAGAACCAAAAGACUGGAUCUUCUGAGAACAUCUACUGUAAGAACUAUAGUUACACAACAGACUUUGAAUUCUCUUGUGAAAGUUAAGGUAGAAUUGGCUGAACAGAGGAGUAUCUGUGCGGCUGCUGGCAUUUGUGGCUUAUGGAGAAACACAUUAAAUGAAGAUUACAGAGAUUCAUUGGCAGGGGAUUAACAGAGAUUGCUUAAUUAAUAGUAUGAUGCCUCUGGCUUCCCUCUAUCACACGUCUUCUUUUCGAGUAAAGGUUUUUCAUAAAUGUGAGCGUGGAAGAAGAAACCAGAUGGUGUCAGAAGCGGAUCCGAAGUGGAACUUUUAGUGACCCUCAGGAGCACUGAAUGAACAUGCAAGGAACCUGCAGGACCCACUUGUGUCCAUUGAUCUCUGGGAGCAGCUGGGAUAAGCUCCUUUUCGGAUUUCAGAGCUCCAUGGACUUGUGUCUUGAGAUCCCUGAGUUUCUUUGAGCAAAUUUCUGAUCCAAAAUGGGUUUGGCAUCAUGGCAGAAACAGGACUGGGUCCACGAAUGGAUUUGAUCCAGGAAUGAACUGGCUUGGAUCCAGUCAGAGGUCUCUUACAUCUGACUGGGUCAGAAAGGAACUGGUACAGGAUGGUGUGGCAAGCUGAGUCACUAAGGCUGCUCAGGGAAAGGGAACCCAGAAUCUUGGCAUGCCGGCAAAAGGCCCAUGGUUCACUGAGGACAACUCCUUUGCAAUCUAGAACCCAAAGAUUGGAUCUUCUGAGAACAUCAGAGAAAGACUGUCCUUGCCAUCCACACUACAGCAAAGCUUUGGAGCCUUGAACCUUGGGUUCAUGAUCUUACAACUGAGAAGGGCCCCUCCACACUCCUGAACUGUACAACCAUUGAAACUCUUAAGGUAAAAUUAACUAGGAAAGUUUAUCUCCUUAAGAAGAUGGCAUCCUUGAUGUGAACAGCUUUUCCCAAGAUCCUGGAUCAAAACGUCUACUAUCACGAGACUCUUAUAUUUGAAUAUAUUUUCCGGUUUAUGCCUUUAGGAACAAUUGAAAUGAAAGGGGGAUCUAUUAUGUGCACUUAUAGGGUAUACUUUUAUUUGUGAAGGAUUUUGCAUCCAGCCUUAUAUGAAUAACCUUGUACUUUAAUAGAUAAAAGAUGAAGGCUCAAUGUAGGUGAGAAAAUGUAGUGGUACAUAUGUUGCCUCAUAAUCAGUCAAAACUCUUCUUAACCCACAUAAUGGAUUAAAGAGAAUAUUGCCAGGAGGCCUUCGCUUUUCUAAAAUGACAUCAUUUGUUAGGUCCUUUUUCCAUAGUUUAGUAUAAAAGAGGCAAUAAUUAGAAAUGUCACCCUCAUAAUAGGCUCUACAGCAAAUUCUACUUUAAAGGCUAUUGUUACACAACAGACUUUAAAUUAUCUUGUAAAAGUUAUGCUAAAUAAUAGAAUUGGCCAAACAGAAAAGUACCUGUGCAGUUGCUGACACCUGUGGCCUAUGGAGAAAUACAUCAAAUGUAGAUUAUACAAUUUCAGUUGUAGGGGAUUAAUGAAAAGACCACCUAGUCAAGCAAGUAGGCUCUUCAUAUAGCUCAUUCUUUAAUCUAUUUAAUUUUACAUGGUUUGGUUUAUGGGGACCCUGGGUAAGGAGCACACUCCAAAUUUGUUAUUAUUCUCCCAGUACUCAUAAUGAUAGUCUCCCUGAUGUGCUAUAUUCUCUUAAAGGUUUUAAAUGUUUGCAUGCAGCCAUCUCUAGAACAUCAAAUGGUCUCUAUUCAACCAGAAUGACAAAAGCUGAAAGAAAUGUGUGACCCUGAGGAUAUCGUAACCUACGAAUGAUGUGCUGAGACUGGAAACCCUAAAUGAUGUUACUGAGAAUGGCACUAAGGCCUUAAGUUUUGGUCACACUGUCACCUAAGUGAGAACCUGGCUGAAAAGGGAGAAUUUUUAAACAACAAAAUUAGAGGAAGCCACUAUUUUGGACUGAGCUCAUGCACUAGGCCCCAACAAACGAAACCAAGCUAAAAUGGAGUCACUCAUCCUAAAUGUGACAUAAUCAAACCAAGGCUUUAAGAACACAGAUAGAUGCUAGAACAGACUACAUUUUGUUUUUCUCCUGUAAACAGGAUGUCUAUCAUAAGGAGGUACCGUCUACUCAGUCCUUAUUCUCUCCUUGCAAAACCCACUUUUCUACUGUUUCCCAGUGGGUUUCAAACCAUAUAAUACAUUUAUGAUAGUGAUAUUAACAUCAAUGACUAAGGUUUUGGUCAAUCUCUCAAAAUUGAGAAAAUGACCAAAAGAGGGAAAUGAUUGCUAAAGCAAACUAAAUAUGGCCUGGGAAGAACUCCAUAGUCUUAUAUUUGAGUUCUUGCAGAUGAACUGUAACUUAGCUUAAUAGUCAGACAAAACUGAAAACCUAACUUAAUAGUAUGCGUCUGUAACAAUGGCUGAGUGUUCGCUAAUCCCAGCGGCCAUACUUCAACCACUCAUAGACUGCUGAAAGUUCAAAGUGCAUUCAAAUAAGGCAAAAACGGAGCUUAACCAGCCUCACUGUUUCUGUAUCUCACUUCCGAUUCCUGUAUGUCACUUUACCUUUUUUGUCUAUAAAUGUGUUCUGACCACGAGGCACCCCAGGUCUCUGUGAAUCUGUUGUAAUUCUGGAGGUGCCUGAUUCGCCAAUCAUUCAUUGCUCAAUUAAACUCCUUUAAAUUUAACUCAGCUGGACUUUUCCUUUUAUCAGGUUGAAUUUUACAUAUCUACUUUAGAUUUUAAUUUCUUCUAUAAAUUAAAAUCUAAUCUUCCAUAAUUUCUGAUAAAAUGUUUGUUAAAUGAACUCAAUGCAUUGGACAAAAAUUUCCUGUUGCUUUUCUUUCAAAGUACAUAAAUUGAUGCUACUUUUUCCACCUUUCUCACAUUUUCUCUGUCCCAAUCUUACACUGGAGGUUCAAUAGUCUUCUUCAUGCCUCAAGUUCUUUCUCUUGUAAUAUGAAAGGCAUGUGGCCACUUUCCUUUUCUAAUUCUUUCAUAAAUCUAAACAUUUUCACUACCUAUUGGUUACUAUGCUCACCAUCUGGGUGAAGGCAUCAUUUGUACACAAAAUCUAUAAAAUAUACUAUUUACUUAUGUAAAAAACCUAAACAUGUACCUGCUGAACCUAAAAUAAAAGUUGAAAAAGAAAAAUAAAUAAAUAAUACCUUCCCAGAAUAUUGCCUAUAGGAACAAGUCUAAAUUCCUUAAUACAGAGUAAAAUGGUAAUAAAAUUCUUGCCCUGAUUUUCUUUCUUAGGCCUAUGUCAUUUCAACACUCCCCAUCACCAUUCUUCCCCAAUCUCUUCCAUUUUUUGAGUCUAAAAUCCUUAAUACAUUGAAUUUUUGUUCAAUAUUUGUUAUAUGCCCAAAACUAUGCUAAGCUGCUGGACUCGUGCUCUUUCACAAUUCCUUUUCUGUUCCUUUCAGACUAGUGAAAUGAUACUGAUUUUUAAUGAUCUGUCUUUUCUUGGAAAUUUCCUAUUUCCAAAUGUCAAAAAAAGAACUUAUAAUUUUUGUCUCUCCAUUUCCAUAACACUUAUCAAUGUCACUGACAUAGCCCUAAUAAUUAUGAGAUGUACAUUGUUAGUUACACACAUUUCUUGUUUUCCUACUUUUGAUGUCUUUAAGGUCAGAGAUUGUAUUUUACUCGUUUGUAUUCCUAUCAGAAAAAAAACUGUGGCUUACAUGUAAUAUACAUUCAGUAAUUGUUUGAAUGAAAAAUGUAUUAAAAUAGUAUGAGUAUCCAAGUUGGUGAUUCAAUUUAGUUAAUCUCUUCUGAUACCCCUACCCCAAAAAGGCAUAUGUAAAAGUGCAUAAAAUUGUGUGUAUGAAUAUGUAGAUCAAUAGAUAGAAGCAUCUGUGAACACAAAUAAGAAAUUUAGGAAAUGAUUAUCUUAGAAACUCUUUAGCAUCAAAUCUUAUUUAUUUAUUUAUUUAUUUGCUAUAGCUUUUGGGGAAAAGUUGGAUUUUUGUUACAUGGAUAAGUUCUCUUGUAGUAAUUCCUGAGAUUUUGGUGCACACUGUACCCAAUCUGUAUUCUUUAUUCCUCACCCCUCUCCCCGCAUUCCCCUUG